AUUGAACGCUGGCGGCAGGCUUAACACAUGCAAGUCGAGCGAGCGGCGGACGGGUGAGUAAUGUCUGGGAAACUGCCUGAUGGAGGGGGAUAACAAAUGGAAACGGUAGCUAAUACCGCAGAACCUCAGAUGUGCACAGAUGGGAUUAGCUAGUAGGUUGGGGAAUGGCUCACAUAGGCGGAGAUCCAUAGCUGGUCUGAGAGGAUUACCAUCCACACUGGAACUGAGACACGGGCCAGACGCCUACGGGAGGCAGCAGUGGUGAAUUUUGCACAAUGGGCGCAAGCCUGAUGCAGCACUGCCGCGUGAGUGAAGAAGGCCUUCGGGUUGUAAAGCACUUUCAGCGAGGAUGCGUUACCGACAUAAGAAGCACCGGCUAACUCCGUGCCAGCAGCCGCGGUAAUUC
rnacentral:rRNA from 1 species